AGAACAUCAGGUGAAAGCAGCUGAUUUACAGGAAAUAAAUGUCACUGACAGCUGAGAUUUCACUAAUGUUCUCCACCUCACUCAGUUUUUACCAGUUCUUGUUGUUGUUGUGCCCUCUCUCAGACUUAUUUGAUCUGCACAACUAUGAUAGGAAAAGUCUCAAUGUUUAAGUCAUACCUGAACUUUUACUUUCCCUAUGCAGUACGCUGACAAACAUCAAUAGCCUUGAACACAUCUGAGAAACAAGGAUGUUCUAUAACCUUCUUCAACAAAAAAGCCGGAGAGAAAGACGGAGAAGGUGAAGACAAGAGAAGUCUGUCUGGUCAGUAGCCUCUAGAGUUUUCCCCUCCCUGGUGUUCCUGUCUCUGUUUGUGUUUGUGUGGGGGACUCCUCCCACUCUCCGUGGUUGUCUGAGGACCUGAUUACCUGCUCACUUGUCCGACUGCUUAAACCUGCAAGUCAUCAACUCAUCAGUCCUGCAGUAUAUCAACCCUGGUUCUUCAUUCACUCUCUGCCAGAUCGUUGUUUCUACAUGACAGUGCCAAAAUAACCUUCAUAGUGGGCCUUCAUAUGGGGAAUGUAUUAAACUGGGCUACUGCUACUAUUUCAUUUCUGAGCUGAGGAAGGUUUUUGAUCAGCCACUUCAGGGAAAUGUUCAGGGAGCGGGUGAGUGCAUAUAUUGUGGUCAGACUGGUCCUUUCCUCGCCACCUGCCCCCUUCAGCCAAAAGGAAGGGCUCAUCGGUAGAUCUGAGGAUACUGGUGAGCCAAACUUCUUUGUCUGUUCCCCGACCUAGUAUGCAAGACACUCUUUUUUUGGAAUAAUGAAUCUUGGUCUCUGUCAGCUUUUGUGGAUUCUGGAGCCGAUGAGAACUUUAUGGAUCGGGAAUUUGCUCUCCAGGCAGGCAUUCAGAUGACUGCACUCAGCCCCCCCUGAUGGCUAAUGCUCUUGAUGGAAGGCUUUUGGCUCAUGUGACCCACCAAAGUGCUCCUGUGCUUCUGCUUCUCUCUGGAAACCACCGUGAACAAAUUUCAGCUCCAUGUCCUACCAUCACCUAAUGCACCUCUGAUCCUUGGACACCCCUGAGGUAGCUGCCAUCCCACCAGUCUUUGAGCUGCCAGAUUUGUCAUUUUUCCCACCUGCUUGAAUCAGACACCAGAGUCAGUGAACGCACCAUGUCAACAAGAUGAAUCACGAAAACAAGCUUUCAUCAGUAAUUCAGCCAUCUUCUCCUCCUCCUCCUGAAGAAGAAAUUGUGUAUCCGGAUGUCUCUUUUUGAUGUUUCUCCCCCCAGACUCUAUAUAGUUGGUCUGCAAUUAAAACAGAAAGCAGGUUUCACCAAUCUGAAACUUUAAAACUCUCUCAGUUCAAGACAGACUGAGAUCCAGAAGUUCCCAACAGUGUUGGAUCACAUGAAUGCAUCAGGCAGCAAGGCAUCCACCAGGGAAAGCUGUGCGCUAAUGGGGGUGGCGGGGUAAUUAAAGAGACGUACAUCAACACCACACUGGAACCAAGCCUACGCCCUGGUGUUAAACUCACCGAAGUUCUCUCUUUGCUCGUUACAGCCAAUCUCCUUCAACGCGUCCAGAACCACUUCGACGACUCCGGACUCAGUGAAGGUUGUGACCAGCACAUCUGAGAUUUCUAUAUCAUUUUUGCCUUGCAGUGCUCUGCGUCUGACCCGUGGCUCUUCCCUGCGGUCCAUGAUCGCAGAGCAGAACUUCUGUAACUGUAUGACGCUCAAAUCCUCCAGCAGGUCGUUUAGAGCGCGUUUAACGGUCUUGGGAGGCAUCUCUGCAUCAGAGGGGAGAAAAAACACUGCUGCUGUGAGCUUAGAUCACCGUGGCUGGACUGAGAAGCCUUUAUUUGGGCUGUCUUGUACCCGGAGACCAGAAGUGCAAUGAAAAGAGCUCACUAGAAGCAGAUACGAUCUGAAAAGGAAACUGAAUUUCCUUCCUGACCUCGAACACGACCACUACCAGCCUGCAGUGAAGUAUCAGUGUGGAGAGCCUUGUCCGGGGAGGAGACAGACAAGCUGGAGCAGGCCAGCGAUGAUGACAAGACCUACUACAUCAUCGAAAAGGAGCCCCUCGUCAAACACAUACAUCACUGUUCCUAAGGAGAACAGCACAUUGAACUGUGCAGCCUUCACCGGAGGGAUCAUAGAGGCUUCCCCGCCAUGGUCACCGUCCACUGGCACAAAGGCACCACGCUCAUGAGACAGAGACAAAGCACUGUAAGGCAGAUAGUGAAGGGACAAGAAGUUGAGAAAUUGAGAUGGCUGUGUGUGAGGAAGGAGGUAUGAUAUUUAAUGACUGCUGUCUCUGUAAAGACCGCUGCAGACUGUGGUGAAGGCAGUGUAAUCAUUUUGUUUAAGAAUGGGUUGUAAAUUCCCUGAUUUAAGAGGACAAACAGUUGUUUAAUAUCAUUGAAUGUAAGCCGAUGUAUUUACAUUGCAUCAACUGGCCAAAACCCAAAGAUUGUUAAUUUAAAAGUAGCAAAUCUUCACCUUUGACGAGCUGCAACCGGUAAUUUUUUUGUCAGUUUUGCCUAAAAAAUUAGUCAAUCAACUAUCAAAAUUGUUGCCAAUUAACUUUCCCUCACUCAACUAAUUGAAUAACGGACUACUCAUUUCAGCUCUGAAGAAGAAUACAAUGAAUUUAAACAUUACAAUAAAAUUACUGUUUAUUUACCUGAAACAGUUAAUCUUGGGCUGCAGAUGAGGUUCUUGUUUUCCGUAGUAUUCGGCUGACACCAGCAAUUUCCGAGCCAAACAGCUGAUUGCGAAUCUUCCAUUUCCCCAUUUUAGUCAGAUAAAAUGUGUGACUGCAUCUGUAUUGACAGGCCUGAUGGGAUAAUAGGCUGUUUGUCCCACAGACCGUCUGUACAUGUUUGUAUUGUGGGAUCAACACAGUCUAACAGGGAUGUGUCCUGUAGGUGGGGCAGCUUUUCUCGUGACACGUUAAGCCUGCUGUUAAAGAUUUGUGUUGUUGUUGAUGUGUUGUGUUGUGCAUGUGUGAUUAUGCAAUAUAAUGUUUAUAUUAUUGUUUUAUUAUAUAUUUUUCUCUGACACAAAUGUAAAUAAAUACAUGAAGAUGUUUUUUGGAUAAA